CGUUACCAUCGUCCCCCGUAACCAACAGUUAAGAGGCACCAAGGAAUGAAUACCUGCCAUUCAAAUUGCCUAUUCCUCCAAUGCCUCCCAAUGCUUCCUCUUGAUUCACCAAUCUGAUUCAAAACUAGAACAAACCAAACUCCCAUAAGAUAUUCAAGUAAUUUCAAAUAACACAAUAGGGGAUUAUCACGCUUCCUGGUUCCGGGAUUUGUCUUCGUUGUGCAUGAACACUUCCGGCGCACUUCCACCAUGGCUGAAACAAAGGCGAGAUGUCACUGCUCUCUGUUCCACUUUGUACAUCUAACAAACAACACCAACCCUACUUAAGUUUUCAUGGAUUCCCGACUGAAAUGAGUCUAAGGAAGAAGUGGAUUCAAGCGGUUUGCCGGGAUGAAGGGCCAAACUUUAAAAUAAAACAAGGUAGCAUGUUUGUUUGUAGCCGGCACUUUAGUGAAUCAGACUACAAACGCUACAGCUAGCAACCAACCGGGGUCACACCAAGUGACUGAAAAUCGGGUCUUUACCGUCCCGUUUCCAGUGGAACAACUGGGGACUGCCAAGAAGGGGGUCUGUUUAUAAAAGAGCAUCAACUCGCUUAGGCCAUGACGUUCACCCAUCCCUUCCUCUGGAGCAACCGCUGCCCUGUGAAUAAGAGCCGAUGGAGGAGAUCUCAGCUUCGGUGGUGAUGACAGAACAUGAUUUCGGUUCUGCUCCUAAACCAGAGCUGACUGAACGAAGUGGACUGCUGGAUUUACUGGAGCCAGGAGAUGGCUGCAUGGCAGACAAGGGUUUCACCAUCGAGAAGCCACUAGCUGAUCGUGGGGCAACGCUGAUUAUACCACCCUUCAAGAUGACAGGUAGGCAUGAAAGGAAUGAACAUUUCAAAUUAAAACUUUGACCCAAAUGUGACCAUUAAGAUAUGCAGACAAAUGUUUAAGAUGGACUGAAGCACUCACAAUAAUAUUACUAAUUAAUUUAUCUCUAACCACUGCGCAGUUCAAUGAAGAGGAUGCUCUGAAAACACAAGCAAUCGCUCGACUUCGAAUCCUCGUAGAAAGAGCAAUAGGCAGAGUCAAGGAAUACCGCAUCUGGGAACGCACUGUCCUUUCACCUUGUCUGCGACAGUCAAUCAGCUGUGGACCGUCUGCUGUGUGAUGACCAACUUCCAGGGACCACUUGAUUUAAAAGGCUACAUCCCUGUUGAAUAGUGUUUCUACUCAAACAUGUACCUAUAAAUAUUAAAUAUAAUAUAUAAAUAUUAAAACGAGAGGCACUGAACAUUUGGAGUGGUCCCUUCAUUUUUUCCGGAGCUGUAAUUUUGUACACUGAAAACAUUGUAUAUAUUGAAUGACAUGUAAUGUAAUUGAAUGAGAAGUCUUUCAUCUAUAAUCAAUUUUAAAGUCCAGUCAGUCCAUCC
rnacentral:lncRNA from 1 species